rnacentral:rRNA from 1 species
UACAGAGGUGGCAAGCGUUGUUCGGAAUUACUGGGCGUAAAGGGCGCGUAGGCGGCCUUCUAAGUCAGACGUGAAAUCCCCCGGCUUAGCCUGGGAACUGCGUCUGAUACUGGGAGGCUUGAGUAUGGGAGAGGGAUGUAGAAUUCCAGGUGUAGCGGUGAAAUGCGUAGAUAUCUGGAGGAAUACCGGUGGCGAAGGCGGCAUCCUGGACCAUAACUGACGCUGAGGCGCGAAAGCUAGGGGAGCAAACGGG